ensembl:lncRNA
GUUUUUCUCCCAUGUACAAAUGUAAUUCCUCUAUCCAUCUUUUCCAGUGACAUCAUGGACCCCACUCCUGAGCCCAAGACCAGAGCGGAGGUUUGAAAGUGUAAGUAAAACACAUUAUAAUCCCGGAACUACCUGAUAAAUCUGUCACGGGGGAUUCUUGCCAGUGGACCUUGGAACCCAACACAGUCAAUGAGCACCUGUAUCUGUCUGAGGGGAACCGGAUGGUUACUGGAAUUGUGUAGACUUUCUUAGUGUCCAACAAGCUUUCUCUGCCCUUAGCCUUGUUCUGAACACCUCCAAAACAAAAGUCAUGUGGUUUGGUAAGAAGAAUGCCCCUCUCCCCACAGAGGUGAUUACUACCGCUGAGGAUUUAGAGCUUGAGGUAGUCACCUCAUACAAGCACUUGGGAGUAUGACUAGACGGUACACUGUCCUUCUCUCAGCACAUAUCAAAGCUGCAGGCUAAAGUUAGAGGAAACCAAGUCUAGAUUUAUCGUAAUCGUUCCUCUUUCACUCCAGCUGCCAAACUAAACCCUGAUUCAGAUGACCAUCCUACCCAUGCUAGAUUACGGAGAUGUAAUUUAUAGAUCGACAGGUAAGGGUGCUCUCAAGCGGCUAGAUGUUGUUUGCCAUUCGGAUUUGCCACCAAUGCUCCUUAUAGGACACAUCACUGCACUUUGUACUCCUCUAUAAACUGGUCAUGUCUGUAUACCCGUCGUAAGAACCACUGGUUGAUGCUUAUUUAUAAAACCCUCUUAGGCCUCACUCACCCCUAUCUGAGAUAUCUACUGCAGCCCUCAUCCUCCACAUACAACAACUGUUCUGCCAGUCGCAUUCUGUUAAAGGUCCCUAAAGCAUACGCAUCCCUGGGUCACUCGUCUUUUCAGUUUGCUGCAGUUAGUGAAUGGAACGAGCUGCAACAAACACUCAAACUGGACAGUUUUAUCUUAAUCUCUUCAUUCGAAGACUCAGUCAUGGAUACUUUUACUGACAGUUGUGGCUGCUUUGCAUGAUGUGUUGUUGUCUCUACAUUCUUGC